CCAAAGGAAGCUCCGGCUAACUCCGUGCCAGCAGCCGCGGUAAUACGGAGGGAGCAAACGUUGUUCGGAUUUACUGGGUGUAAAGGGUGCGUAGGCGGCUACGUGUGUCAGAGGUGAAAGCUCACGGCUCAACCGUGGAACUGCCUUUGAAACUGCGUAGCUUGAGUCCGAGAGAGGAUGGUGGAAUUCCUGGUGUAACGGUGAAAUGUGCAGAUAUCAGGAAGAACACCGGUGGCGAAGGCGGCCAUCUGGCUCGGUACUGACGCUGAGGCACGAAAGCUAGGGUAUCGAACGGGAUUAGAUACCCCGGUAGUCCUAGCCGUAAACGAUGUCCACUAGGCGUCGGAGGUCCUACCCCUUCGGUGCCGGAGCUAACGCAUUAAGUGGACCACCUGGGGAGUACGCUCGCAAGGGUGAAACUCAAAGGAAUUGACGGGGGCCCGCACAAGCGGUGGAGCAUGUGGUUUAAUUCGAUGCAACGCGAAGAACCUUACCUGGGCUUGACAUGCAGGGGACAGGUGUAGAGAUACACCCUUCUUCGGACUCCUGUACAGGUGCUGCAUGGCUGUCGUCAGCUCGUGUCGUGAAAUGUUGGGUUAAGUCCCGCAACGAGCGCAACCCUUGUCCUUAGUUGCCAGCACGUCAUGGUGGGAACUCUAGGGAGACUGCCGGUGACAAACCGGAGGAAGGUGGGGACGACGUCAAGUCAUCAUGGCCCUUACGUCCAGGGCUACACACGUGCUACAAUGGCACAUACAGAGGGCAGCGAACCCGCGAGGGGAAGCCAAUCCCAAAAAGUGUGCCUCAGUUCGGAUCGCAGUCUGCAACUCGACUGCGUGAAGUCGGAAUCGCU
rnacentral:rRNA from 1 species